UGACUUUGAGUUUAGUGGGCCUGUACGUUUCCGGAAAAACCCCAUGAAUUUGACUAGGGAACCCGAAAAAGGCCAUAACAGAACUGCAACAGCCUGAAGAAUAAUAAACGCACCGAGUCUCACCGUAAUGUAAGCGAUGAAGCUCGACCAAGUACAUCAUAUGCUUCAACACUUCAACCCGGCAGACAAAAACUGGAACAGUUUUCGUAAAAAACAAAGUGAAUACUGGGCCGGAACUACAGCACCACUUCAACAACAGCAGCAGCAGUUCACAUUAUUCUGGCAGAAGAAAACAACCACUCGUCCAGUUCCUCGGCCAUUCGGUUGGAGUAGUUCAUUUUUCUUCUCUUACGGCCGAAGAGCACCCAGCAGCGGAAAUGGCUCAGACAGUGGCCAUAAUUGAUCAGAGUGGAUGUGAUAGUGGCACAAGUGUUUCGUUAUAGACCUAGCAGCAGCUGUCACUCUCCGGAAGGUACCAUGAACAAACUUCCUGGCUGCGAUUUCGUAUCGCAAAUCAAACGAAAACAAUAACUACCACAUGAAAAAUAAGUGCUGCAGUAAAAAUGGAUCCCAAUACUUCCGGAUGAAAACCAUGAAUGGUCAUAACAGGACUGAAAAUAAAGUACACCAAGGCUGACGAAAAUUCAAGCGAUAAACUCGCCAUGAUGCUGGGAAUCCAAGGACGAACUCCACUACCCGGCCACACAAACGCAAGAUGAGUUCCCCAAACAAGCCAAAUAAGAUUAACACUGGGUCGAGUAGAAGAGGCAGAAACUGUGGUUCGUGAAAUUUGUUUUGACCAAAUGGUUAUACUGGAGCUGGCUUCGGCAUCUUAUUGAUGAAUUUGCCGGUGUUUACGACGAAUGAAAACCUGCUCCUUCUAAACACUCAGUCCCCAGGAUUAAAGGGAAGGGUCCGGCUUCAAAGGCUCUUUUGGCUCACCCGAAGAUAUCAUCUGUUGGCGGUAAAAGUUAAAUCAAAAUCAAUGAUAUUUUAAGUUUUUUUUUUUUUUUGUUCUUCAAGGUUGCUCCUGGUGUCUCUGGAUCAGCAGAUUAUUCCCACGGCAUUGGCUUCGAUGAUACCGAAAAUUCUCUCGGAGUGCUCUUGGUGAUGAGAUUUGUAAGUUCAAGAUUCCCACCUUCGUUCUCCCAUGAAGCAUAUCUUGGUCCUUUGAGAUUUUUACUCAGAUCUGAAAACAGCAAUAAACAACGGUCACUGCAGUCCUUAUCGUAUACGCAACAGGCCUUCCGGAUUCACCGCACCUGAUGGUAAAACUGCGUAAUUUUUUCUUAUUUUGUUUGUAAUUUAGUUUUUCUUUUUCAGGUAAAACGAAAAAAUGGCUUCACCGGUAACGAUGUCCAAGAAUACUUCAUGCGCAUUGCGAAAAGACAAUCGAAACCCGGAUACGAAUCUAUAAGAGAGGUUGAUGCCAUAAGCGUCGACCUUCUAACAAAAGCGGAUUGCGUGUUAGUGUUGUAGGUACAUUAAAAUCUUCCUAAACUUGAAGAAAUUUAAAAAAAUAUACUCAGGAGCUUAGUGGAAUGAGUGCGAUUAUCAUUCCAACCGAUGUAAAGAUAUAGAUACAGUAUUUCAAUUCAGAAUUGAAAUAAAUAAGCACAAAUUAAGAUUAGGUAUGUUCCAAAAUUGAAAUUUGAAGCUGGUUUAAAGAAUUAGGUAAUAUUCAUUAUUAACAAUAUUUUUUAAAACUGCGAAUACAGAUGUAUUAGUAUACAAAAAGGCAUCCACGUCAAAAGUCGCAUUAA